rnacentral:rRNA from 1 species
GAAUAUUGGACAAUGGGCGAAAGCCUGAUCCAGCCAUGCCGCGUGAGUGAAGAAGGCCCUAGGGUUGUAAAGCUCUUUCGCACGCGACGAUGAUGACGGUAGCGUGAGAAGAAGCCCCGGCUAACUUCGUGCCAGCAGCCGCGGUAAUACGAAGGGGGCAAGCGUUGUUCGGAUUUACUGGGCGUAAAGGGCGCGUAGGCGGAUUUGCAAGUCAGAGGUGAAAGCCCUGGGCUCAACCCGGGAAUGGCCUUUGAGACUGCAAGUCUUGAGUGCGAGAGAGGGUGGCGGAAUACCCAGUGUAGAGGUGAAAUUCGUAGAUAUUGGGUAGAACACCGGUGGCGAAGGCGGCCACCUGGCUCGCAACUGACGCUGAGGCGCGAAAGCGUGGGGAGCAAACAGG